UACAGAGGGGGCAAGCGUUGUUCGGAAUUACUGGGCGUAAAGCGUGCGCAGGCGGUUGGCAAAGUCAGCUGUGAAAGCCCCGGGCUUAACCUGGGAAUUGCGGUUGAAACUAGUUGACUAGAAUCUGGCAGAGGGGGGUGGAAUUCCACGUGUAGCAGUGAAAUGCGUAGAGAUGUGGAGGAACACCGAUGGCGAAGGCAGCCCCCUGGGCUGAGAUUGACGCUCAGGCACGAAAGCGUGGGGAGCAAACAGG
rnacentral:rRNA from 1 species